UAAAAAAAAUUUGGUAACCCAAGGAUUGAUCCUUAGCUAAGGCAUUUAAGGAUCAAAUCCUUAAUGACGUGGCAAGGGGCUAGGGGUUGUGUUCUGCGUGUGGAAAAAAAUUCAUUGUCUUUAUCGCGAAAAAAAAAAAAAUUGAGAGCAACUCUUCUAAGGAGAGGAAGAAGGAGACUCUUCAUCGGAACUGCUAUACCGUCAGAGGUGAUCCAGCGGUGGUGCAGGAGGAGACUCAUCAUCGGAACUGCUAUACCGUCAGCCCUGCGAAGGUGAAAGGGAGGUUCUCGAAAUUGAGAUCCGUGGAGCUUAGGGGAAACGUGUAUCCGUGGAUAGAGGCGAUGGGGAGGGUACGUGUAUCCGUGGAUAGAGGCGAUGUCAACGUCUGGCUGGAGGAGAUAAGGCUGAAGAGGAUGGUUACAAGUCUCGUUGCCAGAUUGUGAACCUCCACCACAUGUUGUCAAAGGCUGUGAUUAAGUCCAAUCCUAGUGUCUUAUGGUGUUACAAGGACAAACUUGAUAUCAACGAUUAUUACCACCAAGCUCGGCUUGCCAAAAAGUCUGCAAAGCCUCUGUUCUGUCCUUCUCAUCUGAAGGAACACCCCCAUCCCGCUUAGCAUUGAGGGAUCGUCCCUGAGGGAUGCAUAGGUUUGGUCAGUGACAUGUGUGUUUCAAUGAUCAAGAUUCUGUUUUAAGAAUUGCUGCAUUGAAGUGGAGGAUCAAAUUGCUUGCUACAGAGAAAGACAGAGAGCUGCUUGCUGUUAAACUUGAUAACGAAGCGGUAUGUUUGUUGUUGGUUUAUACGAAUUAAUUAUCUGAAUGGUUUGAUACUCUUAAGUUUUCUUUGUAAACUUCCACUAGGCCUGGUCGAAAGAGGGUCUUCUCAGAGAACAAAAUAAAGAACUUGCUACUCUCAGAAGGGAGCGUGAUCAUUCUGAUGCUGAGAGGUCCCAAAACAUACAUAAACUAUCUGAACUUCAGGACCAUUUUCAAAAGAAAGAAAGACAAUACGCUGAAUUGCAGGAACAGGUUUGCUUUACACCAUCAAGUUAUGUUUGGACUACCAUUCUUGCCACUCUUCACGCUCUCUGCCUAAUGAUCUGGAUCAGACCCCAAGUGGUAUAGUUUUUAGAAAAAUCUCAUUGCUUUCUUAUUAUCUUAAGGCUUCAUAAAACCAAAUGUAGUUCAAAGUUUUUCUCCCUUAUAUGUAGAACAUAAACACAUUUGAUCAUAUUGCUAAUUCUUUUUAUU